rnacentral:rRNA from 1 species
GGACGAACGCUGGCGGCGUGCUUAACACAUGCAAGUCGAGCGGUAAGGCCCUUUCGGGGGUACACGAGCGGCGAACGGGUGAGUAACACGUGGGUGACCUGCCCUCAGCUCUGGGAUAAGCCUGGGAAACCGGGUCUAAUACCGGAUAUGACUCCAUGACGCAUGUUGUGGGUGGAAAGCCUUGUGCGGCUGAGGAUGGGCCCGCGGCCUAUCAGCUUGUUGGUGGGGNGAUGGCCUACCAAGGCGACGACGGGUAGCCGGCCUGAGAGGGCGACCGGCCACACUGGGACUGAGACACGGCCCAGACUCCUACGGGAGGCAGCAGUGGGGAAUCUUGCGCAAUGGGCGAAAGCCUGACGCAGCGACGCCGCGUGAGGGAUGACGGCC